UACGUAGGGGGCGAGCGUUGUCCGGAGUUACUGGGCGUAAAGGGCAUGCAGGCGGUCGGACGCGUUUUGUGUGACAGCGGGUGGCUCAACUACGCGAGCAUACGAAAGACGGUCGGACUUGAGGACUCGAGAGGGACACGGAAUUCCGGGUGGAGUGGUGAAAUGCGUAGAGAUCCGGAGGAACACCGAAGGCGAAGGCAGUGUCCUGGCGAGUGACUGACGCUGAGGUGCGAAAGCCAGGGGAGCGAACGGG
rnacentral:rRNA from 1 species